rnacentral:tRNA from 1 species
CAGAAAAUAGUUUAUUUAAAAUAAUAAUUUUGGAGAUUGUAGAUAGGAGUUUCUUUUUUCUGA